rnacentral:rRNA from 1 species
CGGACGUGGGUAACCUGCCUUAUACAGGGGGAUAACAGUCAGAAAUGGCUGCUAAUACCGCAUAAGCGCACAGAGCUGCAUGGCUCAGUGUGAAAAACUCCGGUGGUAUAAGAUGGACCCGCGUUGGAUUAGCUUGUUGGCAGGGUAACGGCCCACCAAGGCGACGAUCCAUAGCCGGCCUGAGAGGGUGAACGGCCACAUUGGGACUGAGACACGGCCCAG